AUUGAACGCUGGCGGCAGGCCUAACACAUGCAAGUCGAACGGUAACAGGAAGAAGCUUGCUUCUUUGCUGACGAGUGGCGGACGGGUGAGUAAUGUCUGGGAAACUGCCUGAUGGAGGGGGAUAACUACUGGAAACGGUAGCUAAUACCGCAUAAUGUCGCAAGACCAAAGAGGGGGACCUUCGGGCCUCUUGCCAUCGGAUGUGCCCAGAUGGGAUUAGCUAGUAGGUGGGGUAACGGCUCACCUAGGCGACGAUCCCUAGCUGGUCUGAGAGGAUGACCAGCCACACUGGAACUGAGACACGGUCCAGACUCCUACGGGAGGCAGCAGUGGGGAAUAUUGCACAAUGGGCGCAAGCCUGAUGCAGCUAUGCCGCGUGUAUGAAGAAGGCCUUCGGGUUGUAAAGUACUUUCAGCGGAGAGGAAGGGAGUAAAGUUAAUACCUUUGCUCAUUGACGUUACCCGCAGAAGAAGCACCGGCUAACUCCGUG
rnacentral:rRNA from 1 species